rnacentral:rRNA from 1 species
CCUACGGGUGGCAGCAGUGAGGAAUAUUGGUCAAUGGGCGGAAGCCUGAACCAGCCAAGUCGCGUGAGGGAGUAAGGCCCUACGGGUCGUAAACCUCUUUUGCCGGGGAGCAGUGCCCAGCUCGUGAGCUGGGAGGGAGCGUACCCGGAGAAAAAGCAUCGGCUAACUCCGUGCCAGCAGCCGCGGUAAUACGGAGGAUGCGAGCGUUAUCCGGAUUUAUUGGGUUUAAAGGGUGCGUAGGCGGGCCUUCAGGCCGGCGGUAAAAUUGCGGGGCUCAACCCCGCCGAGCCGUCGGAACCGGGGGCCUUGAGUACCGGAGAAGUACGCGGAAUGCGUGGUGUAGCGGUGAAAUGCAUAGAUAUCACGCAGAACCCCGAUUGCGAAGGCAGUCUGCCGGGGUGCGACUGACGCUGAGGCUCGAAGGUGCGGGUAUCAAACAGGAUUAGAUACCCUUGUAGUC